UACAGAGGUCUCAAGCGUUGUUCGGAUUCAUUGGGCGUAAAGGGUGCGUAGGUGGCGGGGUAAGUCGGAUGUGAAAUCCCGGGGCUCAACCCCGGAACUGCAUUCGAUACUGCCUUGCUCGAGUACUGGAGAGGAGAUUGGAAUUUACGGUGUAGCAGUGAAAUGCGUAGAUAUCGUAAGGAAGACCAGUGGCGAAGGCGAUUCUCUGGACAGUUACUGACACUGAGGCACGAAGGCCAGGGGAGCAAACGGG
rnacentral:rRNA from 1 species